rnacentral:lncRNA from 1 species
UCUGGAAUGCAUUAUUUAAAUAUUCCACAUUUUUUGAGAAUUCAGAUUGCUUCCAAUUUUUCACUUUCAUAAAUAUCAAUAUCUUUAUGCAUUAUAUCUUUUUCUCUCCUUUUGGGUUAUCACUUUUGCAUGGGAUUACUGGGGCAAAAACAUGUUUCUGUUUCUAUGCCUCCUGGUAUGUAUUAACUCCUAACCUUUCAAACUUGCAUUAAAACUUAAAUCUGACAUUUUUCAGCUUUCCUGACUAAGGGGUGCUUCAACAUCAAAGCUCCUUAGGAUUUACUUCCUUUCUAAAGCAACGUCAAAAGGCUUUUGGUUUUAAGGAUCUAUGGGUGAAGAGAUAAUGCAGGAAGCCCGAUAUGCUGACAUGUGUGAGAGGCAUCAUUCACCACAGAAGUAGAAACAGCAUGGAUGGGUGAAAGUUGCAAGAAGAUCUGUUGUUUCUUGGUUCCAACUUUGCUAUCAGCACUGGACCAAGAAUGGAAAACAACUAAUAAACCCUGAAUGUGCAACAAGGACCACAGGAACCAGCCACGGGAGAGUAGACAGUCACCAAGGUCAGGGUCACGUCAGGACAGCCCUGCACGUGUGCGGCCUGAGUGUUCCCACUCUCCGGGUUCACAGUGCAACAGACAGUGCCAGCUCACCACAGCCUUGUUUCCCCCAACUGACCAAGACUGGUCAGAAUGUGUCAGAUUUUGCAUGAAAGACGCAACGUAUUUGCUGUAAAAUUUUAGGAAUUACUAGAAAACAGGGAAGCCCCAAAAGGUAACACAAUCAAGGCAAGGCAAAGGUUGAAGAGAGUACUGAAAAAUCUUUUCAAACUGUUUAGAGAGGGACUGGAGUAUCCAUGGAUUUUGGUAUCUGCAGGAGGUCCUGGAAUCAAUCCCCCAAGGAUACCAAGAGAUGACUGUACUAUGCUAGGUGCAAGAGGUGAAUAAGGCUUAGCUCCUAGCUUCAAGAAUCUUACAAUCUGGCAGAUGCGGAGGAAUACCAGAUGACAAGUACUACCGCUGGUGUCCAGAUCAAGACAGCAGGAGACAACAGAGAAAGGAUCACUCAAUGGGAAUGUGACAUUUGAACUUGACUUUGAAGAAUGAUUAUGACUUACUAGAAGGGGAUAAAUGAUACGGAAAGAGGAGGUUUUCCCUUGAACUCCCCAAACAACCCUAGCUCUCUUGAAUUCUUGUAACAUAAUUGUAGGAAAAUCUCUCCCCACUUAGUGAACUAUGAAAAAACAGAAACUUUUCUAAUGGCACUUUAUUAGGAAACUAGGAAGAGAAAUUCCCAUACGCAAUUAUGAAUAUAAAUAAAUUUACAGAUUUCUGAUUCUAAAUUGGACACUGGUUAGAGCUGGAUGGACUUGAAGGUCACGGUAGAGGGAGAUUCCUACAACCCCAGUUAUAUUCUAUGACCUUGGCCCUAUGUAGGGAAAAGGACUAAACAUCUGUCAGAGGAUGUAGAAAAAGGACAUGGCGGAAUCUCCAGUAUCUUAUAGAACUCCUCUAUGCUGCAAGCUAGCAUCAGCAAGCAUCGGCUCCAACCUUACCAGUAGAUAUGAUUCCUCUUUCCCAGAAACCCUUAUAUUAGCUACCUCUCCUAUUUGAAGUAAGCCCUCACCACUUCCUGUUUUAGAGCCAGAGCUCUCUUUUGAUGUAUGCUCCCCACCAACUGUCCUCACCAAGAUAAAUCUUCAAGUUCCAGCUCAUUUGCAGAGACGCCCAAUGACUUGAUCAAGCCAAUCUCAACUGAAGUUACCUUGUGUCUGCCUCACCUUUGUGAUAUUCUCAAUUCAGUACAGAUACAUCCAUUUUCCCAGGUUUUAUAAUGUCAUUUGCUCAAUAGCAUCUAGCAAAACAUUUACUGGGACAUAACACGUUCCAGGCAUGAUGUUAGGUACCAAAUAGCAACAACAAUAGCUACAGUGAUACCUCAAAUAAUUUUCAUUAAUGAAAGCUGGAAUUAUUCUCCUAUAAUUCAAUUUUCAUGUAUGCUAAUAAACUUUGUAAAUCUAAAGUUAUCUGGUCUCCUUAAUAGGUCAGGCUUCAGCUAUUGAAAUUGUAAGCUGUUGGACCAGGCUACAGUGCCUGUUUUUGCAUAGAAAGGACAGGGUGGUAGGGUUCCAGCCAGAACACAAAUCGCAACUUACCCACAUGUAUUUAAAACAUGAUACCAGUAGAAGAGACUUUAACAACUCUUAUAACAUGGUUUCUAUGGAAGACUCAUUCAGUUUCAGUUCAAUAUUUCCAGGCUAUAUCUGCCCAGCUGUAGUCCUAGCAGCACGAAUGAAGAGUCUACUUCAUGUUUUUCCCACCCAUCAGGCAUUGGGAGUAGGAGAGAAUGGUGAGUAUUUGCAAUGGCAUUAGAGGGAACUAAGUGGUCAAGAUGUAAAAUGUGGGUAGCAGAAGGGAAGUUAACUGUUUUGCAACACAACCUGGAAGAGGAAGAAAUAGUGCCAUAGCUGAGGUCCUGCAUUGCUACUUGUCAUUAGGGGCCAGGGAACUGAGUUGUGGGCCAGGGGAGGAGGAAGUUAAGUCAAAGCACCCUGCAAAUCUCCACUGGGCUCUAGAUAAGAGCUAUCCAGGCUGGGCACGGUGGCUCACGCCUGUAAUCCCAGCACUUUGGGAGGCCGAGGCGUGAGGAUCACAA